rnacentral:rRNA from 1 species
GAUGAGGCCCGCGCAAGGAUUAGGUAGUUGGUGGGGUAAUGGCCUACCAAGCCGACGAUCUUUAGCUGGUCUGAGAGGAUGAUGCAGCCACACUGGGACUGAGACACGGCCCAGACUCCUACGGGAGGCAGCAGUGGGGAAUAUUGGACAAUGGGCGAAAGCCUGAUCCAGCAAUACCGCGUGAAUGAUGAGAGGCCCUAGGGUUGUAAAGUUCUUUUAAUAGGGAAGAUAAUGACGGUACCUAUAGAAAAAGCCCCGGCUAACUCCGU